UUUCUCUCUCUCUCGGGAAAGGCGAUUUUCUACAGGUCUAAUACUUCUCUCACUCUCAAGCAAAUUAAUUACUUGUCUCGAACAAAUUAAAUCAUUACCAUGGGAAAAAUUGAUGAUGGUUGUAUUUACUAGUUAGGGUUCAACAACUUUCAGAAGAUUUAGAAACGUCUAGGUCACCUCUGAUUUCAGGUUUUAUCAGAGCUUCAACUCACCAACUUAUUAGGGUUGGUGUUCUUAUAGGAAAAGCUCGAGAGACCAUUCGGUUAUUGCAGGAUUCAGGACCUAAAAUUCAAAUCACAAGAGAUGCUGAAGCUGAUAGAUAUGCAACAACCAGACCUGUUGAAUUAGAUUCAGAUACAAGUCCCAAAUGAGAAGGUUGGUCUGAUCGUUGGCAAGGGAGGUGAAACAAUUAAAUCCUACAGACAAGAUCUGGAGCAAAUAUCCAGGUAGUUGAUACCAUUAAGCUUUGUUUGUAGUGUACAUUGUGAUGCAAUGCAAGGACUUCGAUCAACCAACAUGACUUAAUCAUUUCACUGAAAGCUAAUUAGUCUAGUUACCUGAACGAUACUUAUUAUGUCGGUCUACUGUCUUAAUAUCCUUAUUACUUAUGAUAGUAUGAGAUACCUAUCCUGCUCAUUCGUAACAUUAAUGGAGCAUUUUCUUGGAUAUGUAUGUUACUCCAAAAAUAGUAGGUGUGCUGACGAUAGUUUUAUGCAAUUUCUGUUUGCUUCUCGGUAAUUUGGUUAUUCAUUUUCCAUUUGAUAUAACAUAUAAUUCUAGGCAUUCACAUUUCUGCAAGUUAUUUUCUUUGGACCCUCUUAUACUAUAUGGUUACUGUAGAAGUACAUCCCAUGGUUGAGAGGACAACUUGAAGGCACUCCCAUGACAGAUUUUCGUAGGAUCGCAAUUGGGCCGACGUUCCGCACAAUUUCGUACAAUUCUUAUUGUAUUAAUGGCUAUCUAUUCUAUACAGCAGAUUCAGAAAAACAAUUGACCACACAAAAUAGUGGAGUCACAAUGAAUGCUUGCACCAGCUUUAGAGCAAGUUCCAGGGAUACUAACCUUGUCGAUGACGAUACUACAUAUUACGACAUUCUGAAAAAGAUACUUGAACUAGACUACGGAGUUUUCACAUAAGUUGUUUUUUAUUGUGAUUGGGCGCGAGUCAAAGACAAAGUACAUGGAUCAUAUGUGGAUCGAGAGACAAAGUUGAGGUUUGUCAAUUUUGAAAAGUUUGUGAGAACCUCAAAGGAAGAAGACGAGUCGUUCAUCUAUGCUUCUCAAGCUAGCCAAGUUUUUUACUGCAGCGAUUUGACAAGAAAGCAUUGGAAUCUGGUUUUGGAAUCUCCUAUAAGAUCAGACCCCCAUAUUAAUGCUUUUAAAGAUCCAUAUGUCUUCACUGCAACCUCUAGUGAUGUUCCAUUGAUUUCAGAAACGGUUGGAGAUGAUGAUUAUUGGAGUGGAAUUGCUCAGGGAGAUGAUGAGUAUUCGGAUGUAGAUGAUCAAGUAAUAAUGCUCGUUUCAAUAAAAUGAACUAGCACUAGUUGAAUGUGCAGAUGAUGAAUAUUCGGAUGGGGAUGCUUAGGAACUAGCUGAAUGUCGGUUGUAGAUAUUCAAGCACAAUGUUUCUCCGAGUUUGAUACCUUCAAGGAUGCUGGCACUCUGUUCCCGAUGGUCUCAUGAGGCUAACUGAUGUCAUGGUUGAUGGUAAGAUCGUUGUUCCUGUUGGAUGUAGAAAUGGUUGAAAGAGUUGUGUGUCUACAGUUCUGCUCUCACGCAAGCUAGUGCCAAGAUCCUAAUGACUGAAAUUGUUGUGGAAAUUCUCAGGACUUAAAGAAACCUUAAUAAUUAGAAGUUUUUUUUAAUGAUUUUGGUCUAAAUUUAUGAGUACAGUUCAAUGUAAUCGAGCUGUCAUUUGGUAUUAGACGAAUCAGGUUCUAUAUAAAAUUUGAAUUUGAAUUUGAGAAUUUGAAUUUCACUUGAAUUUGAGAACUUGAGUAAUUGUCAUUUGAAUUUGAAUUGUCAUUUAAAUUGCAGUUUAAUUUGA